rnacentral:rRNA from 1 species
AAGAGAAAUCUACGAAAAACAAACAAAACUUUCAACAACGGAUCUCUUGGUUCUCGCAUCGAUGAAGAGCGCAGCGAAAUGCGAUACCUAGUGUGAAUUGCAGCCAUCGUGAAUCAUCGAGUUCUUGAACGCACAUUGCGCCCCUCGGCAUUCCGGGGGGCAUGCCUGUUUGAGCGUCGUUUCCAUCUUGCGCGUGCGCAGAGUUGGGGGAGCGGAGCGGACGACGUGUAAAGAGCGUCGGAGCUGCGACUCGCCUGAAAGGGAGCGAAGCUGGCCGAGCGAACUAGACUUUUUUCAGGGACGCUUGGCGGCCGAGAGCGAGUGUUGCGAGACAACAAAAAGCUCGACCUCAAAUCAGGUAGGAAUACCCGCUGAACUUAAGCAUAUCAAUAAGCGGAG